UGUUUUUUUGAAUUAUAAUUUAAAAUUUAAUCUGCUCACUGAGUUUUAAAGAGCCGCAGUAUUUUGACUGUGCAAAGGUAGCAUAAUAAAUAGUUCAUUAAUUGUGAACUGGAAUGAAAGAUUUGAUGAAAAAUUAACUGUCUUCAAAUUUAUAAAUAAAAUUUAAUUUUUUAGUUAAAAAGCUAAAAUUAUUUUAUAAGACGAGAAGACCCUAUAGAUUUUUAUUUUAUUUAUUUUAAUUUUUGAUUUUAUUUAUAAUUUAUUUUAGGUGAAAUUUUGUUGGGGUGACAUUAAAAUAGAAAUAACUUUUAAUAUUAUUAAUUAUUAAUAAAUAAUUUAUUGAUCUUUUGUUUUGAUUAUAAGAUUAAAUUACCUUAGGGAUAACAGCAUAAUUUUAUUGGAAAGUUCAUAUUGAAAAUAAAGUUUGUGACCUCGAUGUUGAAUUAAGAAAAUGAAUGGGUGUAGAAAAUCCUUAAAUUAGUCUGUUCGACUAUUAAAUUCUUACGUG
rnacentral:rRNA from 1 species